rnacentral:lncRNA from 1 species
AUGUCAGUGGAUCUUGCUGUCUCCUAUAGAAUAGAAUCACAGAAUGGUUUGGUAGGAAAGGACCUUCAAGCUUGUUUUGUUCCAACCGCUGCCAUGGGGGAGCAACCUUCUGCAUUUUGCUCCUGGCCUUCAACAUUGCAUAAUCUACAUGGUUUGCACAAGAGCACUGUAAUUAUUGCCAUUCUAAGGUUUUGCAACAGCAUCAUCCUUUUAAGGUUACAAGGAAUUAGGUGAGAAUACCCAGAACAGAUCAAGAGGGAGUUCCUAACUUCUGAAGCAUUUAAAAUAAUCCUUCCCUCCCUUCUUCCCCCUACAUACCUCACUGCUGGUAAUGCCCUGGAUUGCACAAACCCCUUUGCCAAGAUAUGAAACAGUUCGCAGCCUUACAAAAGUCCACUUCACAAUCACCACAGAGCUCCUUGUAGAGUCCUUAGGAACCUAGGAGUGUCGGUGCUGUGUUUUAUUACCCUGACAACAUCAAACAAAUACUUAACCAACUGUGCAUGUUCUUCUGUUCCUGAAGCACAAGAAAUGUGAGGUGACAGCAGCAGUUUAAUUCCCACCUUUUCUGGUCUUACCUCUGCUUUUAAUUUCGACACACACACACACACACACACACACACAAUUACUAUAACUUUCCUAAUAUCGAAGUUACAAUAUCAUUGUAUUAAAAUUGUAUUUUACAGUGGAAGUGGUUUCAUUUGUACAAGCAAAUUCAAGCUAAUAUGAAAGACUACCAUCCAAAGCUGAAAUAAACUUGGUUUGCAUGUGUUAAAACCACAAAAACAGUGUGAAUAUGUACAUUCUACUUCUCUAAUUAUAAAAAUCAGGAAGUAAGAAUGAAAUAACACUAUUUUAAAUCUAAGUUCUGAAAGAACUCAGUUCUGAAUAAAGGCAAGAUUACAGCACUGUAACUGGAGGAGCAAAAGAAUAUAUUCUGAAUAGCUAGUUCAUGACAUUGAAGUUUCCUGCUGAGGAGACUAGAAAUGAACUGAUUUAGCAAUUU